AGACGAACCGGGCGAACGUUAUUCGGAAUCACUGGGCUUAAAGCGUGCGUAGGCGGCUUGGCAAGUUGGGUGAGAAAGCCCUCGGCUCAACCGAGGAACUGCGCCCAAAACUGCCAGGCUUGAGGGAGAUAGAGGUGAGUGGAACUAAUGGUGGAGCGGUGAAAUGCUUUGAUAUCAUUAGGAACACCGGUGGCGAAAGCGGCUCACUGGGUCUCUUCUGACGCUGAGGCACGAAAGCUAGGGGAGCGAACGGGAUUAGAUACCCUAGUAGUCC
rnacentral:rRNA from 1 species